rnacentral:pre_miRNA from 2 species
AAAUUACUCCCUCCGUUUCAAAAUAAGUGACUCAAAAAUGACUCUAUUUUGUACUAAACUUAGUAUAAAAGUGAGUCAUUUUUGAGUCACUUAUUUUAGAACGGAGGGAGUAUAUC